rnacentral:rRNA from 1 species
GACGAACGCUGGCGGCGUGCUUAACACAUGCAAGUCGAACGGAAAGGCCCUGCUUUUGUGGGGUGCUCGAGUGGCGAACGGGUGAGUAACACGUGAGUAACCUGCCCUUGACUUUGGGAUAACUUCAGGAAACUGGGGCUAAUACCGGAUAGGAGCUCCUGCUGCGUGGUGGGGGUUGGAAAGUUUCGGCGGUUGGGGAUGGACUCGCGGCUUAUCAGCUUGUUGGUGGGGUAGUGGCUUACCAAGGCUUUGACGGGUAGCCGGCCUGAGAGGGUGACCGGCCACAUUGGGACUGAGAUACGGCCCAGACUCCUACGGGAGGCAGCAGUGGGGAAUAUUGCACAAUGGGCGGAAGCCUGAUGCAGCGACGCCGCGUGCAGGAUGACGGCCUUCGGGUUGUAAACCGCUUUCGCCUGUGACGAAGCGUGAGUGACGGUAAUGGGUAAAGAAGCACCGGCUAACUACGUG